CCAAUAGCGUAUAUUAAAGUUGUUGCAGUUAAAAAGCUCGUCGUUGAAUUUUAGGCCUGGCCGGGCGGUCCGUCUUUGGCGAGUACUGUCCUGUGUCGGGUCCACCUUCUGGUGAACCAGUAUGUCCUUUAUUGGGUGUGCCGGGGAGCCAGGACCAUUACCUUGAAAAAAUUAGAGUGUUUAAAGCGGGCAUUUGCUUGAAUAGAUUAGCAUGGAAUAAUAGAAUAGGACGUUGUGGUUCUAUUUUGUUGGUUUCUAGGACCACCGUAAUGAUUAAUAGGGAUAGUUGGGGUCAUUAGUAUUCAAUUGUCAGAGGUGAAAUUCUUGGAUUUAUUGAAGACUAACUAUUGCGAAAGCAUUUGCCAAGGAUGUUUUCAUUAAUCAAGAACGAAAGUUAGGGGAUCGAAGACGAUCAGAUACCGUCGUAGUCUUAACCAUAAACUAUGCCGACUAGGAAUCGGGCGACGUUAUUUUCAUGACUCGCUCGGCGCCUUAUG
rnacentral:rRNA from 1 species